ACGGUAUUAGCUCAGAUGGAUAGAGUACCCGCCUACGAAGCGGGUGGUCGUAGGUUCGAAUCCUACAUACCGUA
rnacentral:tRNA from 1 species